rnacentral:lncRNA from 1 species
UACUUCAGCUGUGCAAGGAUUACUGUGGCAAGAACGUUCUUUCUAAGAAGGAGGUUGCUACAGUUAUUUCCAGGUUAGAGUGGGAAGGGGAGGUUAAGGCCCCCUGAGAGAUUCUUGACCACUGGAGGUGGGACAAUCUCACCUCUGCGCUUGCGCAACAUAUUAUGAGUGCACAAAAGGGUGGGUCUGAGCUAAAAACUUGGGGCCUGAUACUAGGAGCAUUGAAGGCAGCCAGAGAGGAAAGAAAGAUAUCGGCGGAGGCUCAAUUACUUUUGGGUCUUGGUGAUGGGGCCGGGACACCAGACCCGGGGGGUUCCAGAGGGGGCUCAGGAGCGGUUGUUGUUUACAGGGGCCGAGAGGAGACGGAGCCACUGGCUGAACUGACAGUACCCAGUCCGAAAGGAGACAGACAACAAGACAGAGGAUGUUCGCUGACUCACCCACCGCCACCAUAUCCAGACCGGUCAGGUGAAACGUUGUAUCCUUUAUCUGAAUUGCAUCAGUGCGCCCUGGCUCAAGGGAGCAGAGGAGGGUACGACCCACACGGGCGGGAUCAGCUUACUGCCGGCACAAGGAGGGGGCAGACAAAAGGCCUGCUGUCUCAGAUUACACCCAAGGGCGAUAGCUCAAGCGACAGCUCAGCAGAUGAAGGGGUAGUUAGUCCAGGGAGGAAAAGGAAGGGCUCCAUGACUGACUGGAAUCGAAUAAGAUCUGAGGUGCUGGGGAAGGGUAUAGUCCCAGAAGCAUUCCUGGUGACUGUGAGUGAUCAUGGCCCUGAAUGGGUGCCGCUUGACCCCAAAGGCGUUACACACCUGAUGGAAUUUGUGGAUAAAAAAGGCCUAAAAUCACCUCUGAUGCUAAAUGCGCUACAGGCUUUGACUGCACCGGGGCCUCUCCUCCCCUACGACAUCACAAACCUAAAGCGUGCUUAAGCCGGUUCAAUAUACGUUGUGGGUGACAGACUAGAUGACGGAAUUGCGGGAAUACGCUGGGGCACUGGAGGUUGACCUGAACCACCCGCUGCAUGAGACCAGCAUCCUGUGACUCUCAGGAAAGGCUGAGGGAAUGGUCUCAACCCAGGGCCAAUUAGCAAAACUAAGGCCAGGGGAGCUCAUAGCGGCCACUGAUGCAAUGAUAG